rnacentral:tRNA from 1 species
UGCACCCGUAGCUCAGCUGGAUAGAGCGCCACCCUCCGAAGGUGGAGGCCACACGUUCGAAUCGUGUCGGGUGCGCCAU